ACGCUCGACACCUACGAGGCAGCAGUGGGGAAUAUUGGGCAAUGGGCGCAAGCCUGACCCAGCAACGCCGCGUGAGUGAUGAAGGUCUUCGGAUUGUAAAACUCUUUAAGCAGGGAAGAAGAAAGUGACGGUACCUGCAGAAUAAGCAUCGGCUAACUACGUGCCGCAGCCGCGGUAAUCUGAGCGGGCUGGCAAGGC
rnacentral:rRNA from 1 species